GCUACGCUGUUUCAAUCAAUUCACAUGCAGACUGCUGGCUGCAGGGUGUCUAUGCAAUAUGGCAGCCGCUGUGGCCGCAGGCAGCCGGUGCACAUUGUCCUAUCGCUUACAUCGCCGUUUCUGUACUUCGUGUCCCGGAGUGAAAUAAGCCGUCUUGUUGCUUCAAGACCUCGCGAUGGAGCGCGGUCCGAAGAAAAGAAAGAGAGGACCCUACAAGACUUAUUUAAAUCCCAAGUCUCAGUUCCAGCUACCAAGGAGCACCGCACGCGCUUGCCCGCCGACCGGUGCCAGCCCUAGCAUGCCUUCUUCGAGUGAUGAGGCAGACAGCGACA